rnacentral:rRNA from 1 species
UACGUAGGGUGCGAGCGUUGUCCGGAAUUAUUGGGCGUAAAGGGCUCGUAGGCGGUUUGUCGCGUCGGGAGUGAAAACUCAGGGCUUAACCCUGAGCCUGCUUCCGAUACGGGCAGACUAGAGGUAUGCAGGGGAGAACGGAAUUCCUGGUGUAGCGGUGAAAUGCGCAGAUAUCAGGAGGAACACCGGUGGCGAAGACGGUUCUCUGGGCAUUACCUGACGCUGAGGAGCGAAAGCGUGGGGAGCGAACAGG